UCUGUUCAUUGUGAUUUAUGUUGA
rnacentral:siRNA from 1 species